rnacentral:rRNA from 1 species
CCUACGGGAGGCAGCAGUAGGGAAUCUUCCGCAAUGGGCGAAAGCCUGACGGAGCGACGCCGCGUGAGCGAAGAAGGCCUUCGGGUCGUAAAGCUCUGUUGUGAGGGACGAAGGAGCGCCGUUUGAAGAAGGCGGCGCGGUGACGGUACCUCACGAGAAAGCCCCGGCUAACUACGUGCCAGCAGCCGCGGUAAUACGUAGGGGGCGAGCGUUGUCCGGAAUUAUUGGGCGUAAAGCGCGCGCAGGCGGUCUCUUAAGUCUGAUGUGAAAGCCCACGGCUCAACCGUGGAGGGUCAUUGGAAACUGGGGGACUUGAGGGCAGGAGAGGAGAGCGGAAUUCCACGUGUAGCGGUGAAAUGCGUAGAGAUGUGGAGGAACACCAGUGGCGAAGGCGGCUCUCUGGCCUGCACCUGACGCUGAGGCGCGAAAGCGUGGGGAGCAAACAGGAUUAGAUACCCUGGUAGUCCACGCCGUAAACGAUGAGUGCUAAGUGUUAGAGGGGUCACACCCUUUAGUGCUGCAGCUAACGCAUUAAGCUUCCCGCCUGGGGAGUACGGUCGCAAGAUUAAAACUCAAAGGAAUUGACGG